GACGAACGCUGGCGGCGUGCUUAACACAUGCAAGUCGAACGGAAAGGCCCUGCUUUUGUGGGGUGCUCGAGUGGCGAACGGGUGAGUAACACGUGAGUAACCUGCCCUUGACUUUGGGAUAACUUCAGGAAACUGGGGCUAAUACCGGAUAGGAGCUCCUGCUGCAUGGUGGGGGUUGGAAAGUUUCGGCGGUUGGGGAUGGACUCGCGGCUUAUCAGCUUGUUGGUGGGGUAGUGGCUUACCAAGGCUUUGACGGGUAGCCGGCCUGAGAGGGUGACCGGCCACAUUGGGACGGAGGGACGGCCCAGACUCCUACGGGAGGCAGUAGUGGGGAAUAUUGCACAAUGGGCGGAAGCCUGAUGCAGCAACGCCGCGUGCGGGAUGACGGCCUUCGGGUUGUAAACCGCUUUCGCCUGUGACGAAGCGUGAGUGACGGUAAUGGGUAAAGAAGCACCGGCUAACUACGUG
rnacentral:rRNA from 1 species